GGGACAGUUGUCAAAAUUUAUCCUUUUAUUUAUUUGUGAUAACUUAUACACCUACAGUUACAAGUAAUAGGGAUUUUAGGUUUACUCAAAUUAAAAUUGAGAGAGUUUUGAGUCUUAAGAAAGCAAAAAUUAAGUUCAAUGAUGCUAUUGAAAAAAUAUCUAAAGUUAAGUGACUAUGGGUGAAAAAUUAACACAUGUUUAACUUGGAAACCUAUUAUUACUAAGUUGCUAGUGUCCAUGAGGACCGAUCAAAUCAUGUACCUGUUCAAUAAAAUAUUAACCACUAAAGGGUUAAAAUGGAGUUUUUGGACCUUCUCAUAAUCUUCAAGAAUGAGGAAGAUCAGAACUUUGCCCAAGAUUUCUUUUUCAAAGGAAAGCACAUUUCCCGAGCAAUUAGACUCUAUUGCCUUUUUCCACUGGCUUUACAUCAAUUUGGUCCUCUUGCAAUAAUGUUAAUGAUCCAACUGGCUCCUUUGGGUUGGCUUUUCCUUGGUCCUUAUUUCUUGAGCUCUCCUUGUUUCACUUGUUAUUUGGUCGGUUCUCUCUAGAAAAUCUUCUCAAACUUCCUUCUCUAAUGAGUCUUUCAAUUUUAUCUUUAAUUUGCUUGCACUCAUUUGUUGUAUGGCCAUAAUUGUUGUGGAAUAUGCAGUAUGUUUUUCCUAUCCCAUUGGCCAGCGGUCUCUAGCUUCAUCUUCCUUGGCCACCUAAUAUCUUGUUCAUUCUUUUGUAUCCACAUUAGCCCCUGAGCUCUUGAUUAAUUCAGGAGUGCAUAGUUACUGCAUUGAUCUCUCGUGGUGGUAUCCCAAUCUUGCCCAUGGUGUCUUUGAUCAUUAUUUCUUCUCUCCGUUCUCUUAUCUGAAUUCUGACCAAUCCUUCUUACCUCUUUCGAAGUUACUCUUUCGUCAUCUAGCCUAAUGUACUUUUGAGUUCUCUCAAACUUGGUGUUUCUAGAUCCCUUUUUGAUCGCUUCGCAAGCAGUCUCAUGGUCAAGAUUCUCGAUCAAAUUGAAUGAGUUUUGAGUUAUAAGAAAAAAUUUAAGUUUAGUGAUGGUAUUGAAAAAAACUUAAAGUUGAAUGAUUAUGAGUAAAACUUUACCUAUUUAACAUGGAAACCUACAAUAGCCAAUCAUGAUACUUAAAUUGAAGUCCAAUGAGUUAAAAAAAAAAAUUAAUAUUGAGUGACUUUUGUAAAAUAACUCAUAAAAUUGAGUAACUUUCAAUGAUAAUUACCCCUAUAUCUGUUAACUAUUUACUUUAUAAACCCUCACUUUUCCAUAAGAGCCCAACAACUUUCAUCAAAACUCAAAUCAAAGCUCUUCACUCUGGGCAACAAGCCCUAUACCUUGUGGACAAAAUCACUUCAGAAUCUAGCUUUUGCUCUUUGGUAGAGAUUAGAGGGCAAGAGAGGAGACAUAUCGUUCCACUCUUCGAUCUUUAUCAACAUAUUGAACAGCAAUGAGGGACUCGCAAAUGGGUUUUCCGUUGUGGAUGAAAACAAGAAGUUUCUUGUAAACUGGGCUCUUGUUCUUUCUUUCUUUCUUUCUGUCU
rnacentral:misc_RNA from 1 species